GACGAACGCUGGCGGCGUGCUUAACACAUGCAAGUCGAACGGAAAGGCCCUGCUUUUGUGGGGUGCUCGAGUGGCGAACGGGUGAGUAACACGUGAGUAACCUGCCCUUGACUUUGGGAUAACUUCAGGAAACUGGGGCUAAUACCGGAUAGGAGCUCCUGCUGCAUGGUGGGGGUUGGAAAGUUUCGGCGGUUGGGGAUGGACUCGCGGCUUAUCAGCUUGUUGGUGGGGUAGUGGCUUACCAAGGCUUUGACGGGUAGCCGGCCUGAGAGGGUGACCGGCCACAUUGGGACUGAGAUACGGCCCAGACUACUACGGGAGGCAGCAGUGGGGAAUAUUGCACAAUGGGCGGAAGGCUGAUGCAGCAACGCCGCGUGCGGGAUGACGGGCUUCGGGUUGUAAACCGCUUUCGCCUGUGACGAAGCGUGAGUGACGGUAAUGGGUAAAGAAGCACCGGCUAACUACGUG
rnacentral:rRNA from 1 species